rnacentral:rRNA from 1 species
UGGACGAAAGUCUGAUGGAGCAAUGCCGCGUGAGUGAAGAAGGGUUUCGGCUCGUAAAACUCUGUUGUUAAAGAAGAACACCUUUGAGAGUAACUGUUCAAGGGUUGACGGUAUUUAACCAGAAAGCCACGGCUAACUACGUGCCAGCAGCCGCGGUAAUACGUAGGUGGCAAGCGUUGUCCGGAUUUAUUGGGCGUAAAGCGAGCGCAGGCGGUUUUUUAAGGUUCUGAUGUGAAAGCCUUCGGCUUAACCGGAGAAGUGCAUCGGAAACUGGGAGACUUGAGUGCAGAAGAGGACAGUGGAACUCCAUGUGUAGCGGUGGAAUGCGUAGAUAUAUGGAAGAACACCAGUGGCGAAGGCGGCUGUCUAGUCUGUAACUGACGCUGAGGCUCGAAAGCAUGGGUAGCGAACAGGAUUAGAUACCCUGGUAG